rnacentral:lncRNA from 1 species
UAACAUUUUUCUUUUGAGAAACAUACAAGAUCUACAUAUGGAAAAAAACAAUUUGAUUGUUGGGGUUCAAAACAUAAAAACUUGUGUGAGAUCCUUUGUUAAAAAUCAUGUGUUUUUUUUUCUUCUUUCAAACCUUAAUUCAAAACUUUGUUGUUAUUCUUUAUACUACGUUUGUUUCUAAUAAUAGACAUUGUAAUUGAUUAUUCUCUUAUGCCGGAAGCUUCUUGUGUGUCUGGUUUUAAGUUAGGGAAAAAGCUAAAAGUGAUUUCAUAUAAAAUUGAUUAUUCUCUUAUGUUGGACGCUUCACGUGUAUUUCGUUUGAUUAUCAUAUUUUGGUGAUUUCGAUUGAAAUCGAUUUUGGUUUUAGUUUGAUUCUUUUAUGUUGACUCAAAACGUGAAUUUUAAACUUAACUUUGUUUGUUGUUCUAAAAAAAACUCAAUUUUUUUGUUCAAUUCAUUUUUACAAGAAUAUAUCUAGACAUAAACUAUUUCAUGAUGAAUUAACUUUUAAUUAACA